CGUGAUUGCAGGUAUUUGAAGUUAACCGAGGAGUCGGCUUCAGUUAUCUGAGUUUAGAGCUGAACAGAGACAGUUCUUAGAGAUUACGAUAUUUCCGCUACUUACCACUUCAGCAAAUGGACGUCAAACCAAAGCGCCUGCACAUGCAUCCGCAGCAGAGAAGUGGAAGACCUGCAGGAAAGAAUUGUUGAUAGCUGCUUAAUCAAAGCAACACUGGGUUUUCUGGUAAAGAGCAGAAAUGAUGGUUCCGUCGUCUCAGCCCUGAAGCAGAGAAGCAGCCCCAGACUGUCACACCACCACCACCAUGUUUGUCUGUUGAUAUAAUGUUCUUUUAUGAAAUGCUGUUUUAUGUUUUCUGCCCGAUGUAACGAGACAGAAAACUUCCAAAAACUUUUGACUUGUCAGAAUAUUUUCCCAAAAGUCUUUGGGAUUAUCAGAUGUUUUUUGGUAAAUGUGAGACGAGCCUUUGUUCUUUUUUGGCUUGAAACAUUUUUGUCCAUCUUCUUUCUUAUUGUUGAAUCAUCAACACUGAUCAUAACU
ensembl:lncRNA